UGGGGAAUAUUGCACAAUGGGCGCAAGCCUGAUGCAGCCAUGCCGCGUGUAUGAAGAAGGCCUUCGGGUUGUAAAGUACUUUCAGUCGGGAGGAAGGUGUCAAGGUUAAUAACCUUGGCAAUUGACGUUACCGACAGAAGAAGCACCGGCUAACUCCGUGCCAGCAGCCGCGGUAAUACGGAGGGUGCAAGCGUUAAUCGGAAUUACUGGGCGUAAAGCGCACGCAGGCGGUUGAUUGAGUCAGAUGUGAAAUCCCCGGGCUUAACCCGGGAAUUGCAUCUGAUACUGGUCAGCUAGAGGCUUGUAGAGGGGGGUAGAAUUCCAUGUGUAGCGGUGAAAUGCGUAGAGAUGUGGAGGGAUACCGGUGGCGAAGGCGGCCCCCUGGACAAAGACUGACGCACAGGUGCGAAAGCGUGGGGAGCAAACAGG
rnacentral:rRNA from 1 species